UACGAAGGGGGCUAGCGUUGUUCGGAAUUACUGGGCGUAAAGGGCGCGUAGGCGGCGUGUCAAGUCAGGCGUGAAAGCCCCGGGCUCAACCUGGGAACCGCGCUUGAGACUGGCAUGCUCGAGUUCGGGAGAGGAUGGUGGAAUUCCCAGUGUAGAGGUGAAAUUCGUAGAUAUUGGGAAGAACACCGAUGGCGAAGGCAGCCAUCUGGACCGACACUGACGCUGAGGAGCGAAAGCGUGGGGAGCGAACAGG
rnacentral:rRNA from 1 species